GAGUUCAUGAACUUACUGAGAAUCAAGUGUGCCCUGCAUGUGCGACGAUCUUAUAGUGAUAGUGACUUAGUGUGCCUUCUCCAUUUCUUUGCAGCCCACCGUUUGUGUGUCCCCAAUGGCCCCACCCAGAAAGGAAGGCACGCCCCUCGAGCGCACACCCAAGCCCAGGUUUAACUUGGGCGGCCAAGUGUCUUCUCACGUGUCGGCCUCCACUUCGAACCUAGCGCCUACCAGCGGGAUCUACUCGGAGGAUCCACCCCUCUUACCCCGCUCGCGUUCCAUUUGGGACGCCUCUUCUGAGUUGGGUGGAACUCAUUCUGGCUCUCAUCUUCCAAGAGCGUCUUCACUUCACGAUACCAUGAUUCCGGAGGAGGAUUUUCCUCACGAGUUCGACCUCAAUAACACGAAGAGCUUGAAUCCAGAGUUGCUCAUGCGAGAGUUCACACAUGAUGAACUGGGGGAGACCAACUCGCCCAGUUCCAUGUUCAAGUCCUCCUUCGCCAAACAGGUGGUGCACAAUGUUCGGAAGAGCAUGGGUUCCCUUCAGCCUACUUUGGAACCGAUUCGGCCUGGUUUGGAUUCACCCGUGGUGGAAGUGAGAUCUCGACGCUCUAAAUCCUCUCAUGAGAGGCGUUACUCGAGUUAUAACCCGACCAGCUCGAGCCUACGCAGCCAUGUCAAGAUUGACGAUAGCGACUCCGACAAGGACACGCUGAGCGGGAACCUGAGGCCUUAAGUCACAUUUGGAACCAACGCUGAUGAUGAGAAGGACUUGUGGAUGUCAAAAACGCAGUUCAUCGAGCUUUUGGAGAAACAAGAAGAAGCUGAAAAUCGACUGAAUGAUGAUGAACAUGACUUGGGACUGGAGUCUAAUAGUUUUGGUGUAGCCAGCAGCCAUGGUGGAGAUUCUGGCCAAUUCCUGAAAUUUCGACAAAGCAUGCCGAAAAUGAGUUCAGCCAAGAGCUUGCCUCGAUUGAGUGGAGCCUCCCGUAGAGCCUCAAGUUUUGUGACAAAAAUGAACCGAGAUGGCAACACUGUGCAUCCCAAUUCUUUCAAUUCACGAGAUGCUCUGCUCCUGGAAUACAACGAUUCCAAAGGUUCUCCCUCUUAUUUGGAUCAGGAGGCUAAAAUGUCCUUUGAAGACUUGAAGCAGAAAUGUACUGAGAUGGGCCUCGUCUUCCCGGCCUCAGAUUGGGAGCAAUUGAAGUUGAUCUUGGCGCAGAAAACGGGGAAUGCGAGCUUUGACCUGCAAUCUGACACGGAUUACAAAGUGAAGAACGAUGACUUCUUUGACGCCCUGCAAAAAAUUCUAAAGAACCACUUGAAACGGCGACCUUUGAAUUGUGGGAUCCCGGACGACGUUCUAAAGGAUUCCAUGAAAUCUGAUAGUGGAGGCGAGAUGGAAAGUUGCCGUUCCAGUGAUUCCGGAUUGGAGCGUGAGUUGGCCGAAAAGGAGCGCGAGAUAUGCGAACGCGACCGUGAAUUAUCUACUUGUUAUCGAAAUCUCGCCGAACGAGACACGGAGUUGGUGCGGGUUCGGAUGGAAUGUCAACGACUUCUCGAGAAUAACCGCGAACUGAGGGACCAAAUCCGAGAUCUCAAGCUCUAUUCCAAUCCUCGGCGACACUUCGAGCUUGAGAAGGAAGUGGAACACUUGAAAUGGCAUCUUGACCAGAUGGAGUCGAGUCGGAAUGUGUAUGCCUUGGGCACUUCAAGCCUGGUCACCUUCCUGGAAGAGAUCACGGCUGGCCUUCACGCCACGAGUCCAGCUCAUCGAAAACUGAUCGAUGCCACGAAAGAGGAGUUGAGUAGAGUCACACGGAGGACCAAGAGGCUGGAAAUCCAGCAACACGGGAGACGCUCGUUGGAUGGAAACCAUUCGCUUAUGUCCAGAGCGGAGAGCAUGCCUGGCCUCAAUCUGGAUAGUGGUUUAUCGAGUUCCCAAGUGUCACUGAUCUCCACCUCCACCACAGGAGGAGCUGGUUCCCUCAGUACUGGAGAAUCCGCCACUCUCCAUCGGAGACACGUGCAACGAUCCCAAUCCACGAAUAGCAAGCGAUCCCAGAAGCUGCCCUCCCUGCAGGAGAACGCCAAUGACGACGAGGACUUCCAGCCCUACGAGAACCAUAGCAUCAUUCAAAGGAUCAGGGAGGAGACGGCUGAGGAGCUGCAAAACGUCCACAGUCGGCCCAAAUCCCAAACCCCAGCCUCGAGAAGCAAUUCCAGCCAAAGGGCGGACUCGACCAAGUCGACCAAACCUCAAAAACGCCAUUCCUUCGCCCUUCGUUCAACCAUUCCCUCAUCUGAGGACGAGGCUCCCCGUCCAAUGAAGCCAUCCAACGACCAAGUCACGCCUCGUUUGAGUAAGAAGGACAAAUUCAAAAAGUCAAUCACCGCCUCUUCGGAUAAGGAUAGUGGACGUUGCUCGUUGGGCAGUGUUUCCUCCGGGCGGUCCACCCCAAAUUUGAGCCAUUCCACAUCUGGGGCCCCCAAAAACCAGAGCAAAGAUGACGACAAACCCAAAGACAAGUUCAAAUCGCUCGGGAAUAUCCACAUGGAGCCAGCCCUACCCAAUGCUCCGAUCUCUUGUGCUCAAGAAGAACAUCGGGAGCAAUUGUUGAGCGUGGGCAAGAAGUUCAAACGGUCCAUGAGGAACUUGGUUACUCGAGACACGACCCUCAAGAUCACGCCCAAGAAGAACAAGGCCUGGCGAUCGAGUAUGGAUAGAAAUCCACCCAGUUUACAACUGCUUUCACAGUGAGACAGAAAUAUGCUGCAAUCAAUCAGAGGGUGAUGGGCUCCUCCAAAAUGGUGUUGUACGUCCUUCCCGGGUUUGCCAGCAUUUCCCAUGUUGGCAGCUAGUCACACAAGCCCCUGGAAUUGCUGAUGUUCUCCAUGAAAAUAUGGUAAAAUCAUCAACUUGGUCGUUGAUGUGAUCCAUCUAUUGAGGCUGUGAAUUUGUUGUUCGUUAAAUUGACCUCGAGUCGAAAGGAAAAUAAUCAAGUGGGCCUCCGUUGAAGAAAUCUCAAGAUCCGUUGAUUUUUUUAAAAUUAUUGUUUCAUAUUGUAUUAACCAAACCAACAAACCGUAAGUUUGUGUGUGUGCGUGUGUGUACUGUCGAGAAUGAAUGAAUUCUUCCUAUUUGUAACCAGGAUUCAAUAAAAUUCACAUUUUCUGAUGA